UACGUAGGGGGCAAGCGUUGUCCGGAUUUAUUGGGCGUAAAGAGCGUGUAGGCGGCUGGGUAGGUCCGUUGUGAAAACUCGAGGCUCAACCUCGAAGACGCCGAUGGAAACCCCCCAGCUAGAGUCCGGAAGAGGAGAGUGGAAUUCCUGGUGUAGCGGUGAAAUGCGCAGAGUAUCAGGAAGAACACCCGUGGCGAAGGCGGUUCUCUGGAACGCAACUGACGCUGAGACGCGAAAGCGUGGGGAGCAAACAGG
rnacentral:rRNA from 1 species